rnacentral:sRNA from 1 species
CUUUAAAAAUCUGGAUCAAGCUGAAAAUUGAAACGACACACAUGUUAUGUGUGUUCGAGUCUCUCAAAUUUUCGCAAUCAUGAAGUGAAACAUCUUCGG